rnacentral:siRNA from 1 species
UGCGGAUGCCUUUCGUUUAUC